UAGGGAAUCUUCCACAAUGGACGCACGUCUGAUGGAGCAACGCCGCGUGAGUGAAGAAGGUUUUCGGAUCGUAAAGCUCUGUUGUUAGUGAAGAAGGAUAGAGGCAGUAACUGGUAUUUAUUUGACGGUAAUCAACCAGAAAGUCACGGCUAACUACGUGCCAGCAGCCGCGGUAAUACGUAGGUGGCAAGCGUUGUCCGGAUUUAUUGGGCGUAAAGCGAGCGCAGGCGGAAUGAUAAGUCUGAUGUGAAAGCCCACGGCUCAACCGUGGAACUGCAUCGGAAACUGUCAUUCUUGAGUGCAGAAGAGGAGGGUGGAAUUCCAUGUGUAGCGGUGGAAUGCGUAGAUAUAUGGAAGAACACCAGUGGCGAAGGUGGCGCUCUGGUCUGCAACUGACGCUGAGGCUCGAAAGCAUGGGUAGCGAACAGG
rnacentral:rRNA from 1 species